rnacentral:tRNA from 1 species
GAGGGUAUAGCUUAGGUAGAGUGCGUGCUUAGCAUGCACGAAGUCCUGUGUUCAAUUCGCAGUACCUCCA